GACGAACGCUGGCGGCGUGCCUAAUACAUGCAAGUAGAACGCACAGUUUAUACCGUAGCUUGCUACACCAUAAACUGUGAGUUGCGAACGGGUGAGUAACGCGUAGGUAACCUGCCUGGUAGCGGGGGAUAACUAUUGGAAACGAUAGCUAAUACCGCAUAAUAUUAAUUAUUGCAUGAUAAUUGAUUGAAAGAUGCAAUUGCAUCACUACCAGAUGGACCUGCGUUGUAUUAGCUAGUAGGUGAGGUAACGGCUCACCUAGGCGACGAUACAUAGCCGAACUGAGAGGGUGAUCGGCCACACUGGGACUGAGACACGGCCCAGACUGCUACGGGAGGCAGCAGUAGGGAAUCGUCGGCAAUGGACGAAAGUCUGACCGAGCAACGCCGCGUGAGUGAAGAAGGUUUUCGGAUCGUAAAGCUCUGUUGUAAGAGAAGAACGGGGGUGAGAGUGGAAAGUUCACACUGUGACGGUAUCUGACCAGAAAGGGACGGCUAACUACGUG
rnacentral:rRNA from 1 species